rnacentral:rRNA from 1 species
UACAGAGGGGGCAAGCGUUGUUCGGAAUUACUGGGCGUAAAGGGCGCGUAGGCGGCCCGCUAAGUCGAACGUGAAAUCCCCAGGCUCAACCUGGGAACUGCGUCCGAUACUGGCAGGCUUGAAUCCGGGAGAGGGAUGUGGAAUUCCAGGUGUAGCGGUGAAAUGCGCAGAUAUCAGGAGGAACACCGAUGGCGAAGGCAGCUCGCUGGGACGGUACUGACGCUGAGGAGCGAAAGCAUGGGGAGCGAACAGG